CAUAUUGAUUAAUAGCGAUAUGUAUGUGUUGUGCGCUCGAAACCUUUCUCAGAGAGACAUUUUCUUUCACUGGAGAUGCGGAGCGGACGGGGAAGUUGGUCUUCUCAAGGAAAACACUGAAUGGUUCAUGCUGGCUUAACAGAAAAAUCGAAAGGAGAUGAUGUGCUUGAAGAGUAUGAAGCCACCAAUACAUUAAGUGGGAUGAGAAGAGCUUACACAUACCACAGACAUGGGAGCACUUUUGUGAUGCUGCAAGUGGGAGUUGGGUAUCUUGCUUGGCUGAAAACUGCAGAGAAACACAUCUCGUCUUGCUGAAAACUACUCUUUACAAGGAGGUCCAAACACCAUUAGCAGAGACUUUGUUCAGUGAGCAUUAACAUGCAUUCUGCCUGGAUGCUAAUGAAUGGGAUGCUGUUGUUUAAGCUGAUAAAUGUAAGCAUUAUAAACCUCGUGACAUUAAGUGUACAUAUGGACCAAAUAAGAAUAUGUAUUUUGUGCCUUUGCACUGAUUUGCU